CUCGUAGGCGGUUUGUCGCGUCUGCUGUGAAAACCUGGGGCUUAAUCCCGGGCCUGCAGUGGGUACGGGCAGACUAGAGUGCGGUAGGGGAGACUGGAAUUCCUGGUGUAGCGGUGAAAUGCGCAGAUAUCAGGAGGAACACCGAUGGCGAAGGCAGGUCUCUGGGCCGUAACUGACGCUGAGGAGCGAAAGCGUGGGGAGCGAACA
rnacentral:rRNA from 1 species